rnacentral:rRNA from 11 species
UCCCAGAACCUAAAUUGCCCUAAAGGCACCAGAUUCAUAUCUGAUCUUGGGAGCUAAUCGGGGUCAGUUCUGGUUAGUACUUGGAAGGGAUACUGCCAAUGAAUAUAAGGUGCUGUAGGCU